GGCCAAGUUUUUAAGGGCGCACGGUGGAUGCCUUGGCACCAGGAACCGAUGAAGGACGUGGGAGGCCACGAUAGUCCCCGGGGAGCCGUCAACCAGGCUUUGAUCCGGGGGUUUCCGAAUGGGGAAACCCGGCAGUCGUCAUGGGCUGUCACCCAUACCUGAACACAUAGGGUAUGUGGAGGGAACGCGGGGAAGUGAAACAUCUCAGUACCCGCAGGAAGAGAAAACAACCGUGAUUCCGGGAGUAGUGGCGAGCGAAACCGGAUGAGGCCAAACCGUAUGCGUGUGAUACCCGGCAGGGGUUGCGCAUGCGGGGUUGUGGGAUUGCACUUCAACAGUCUGCCGGCUGUUGGGCAAGUCAGAAACCGUUGGUGUAGGCGAAGGACAUGCGAAAGGUCCGGCGUAGAGGGUAAGACCCCCGUAGCUGAAACAUCAACGGCUUGCUUGUGCAACACCCAAGUAGCACGGGGCCCGAGAAAUCCCGUGUGAAUCUGGCGGGACCACCCGCUAAGCCUAAAUAUUCCCUGGUGACCGAUAGCGGAUAGUACCGUGAGGGAAUGGUGAAAAGUACCGCGGGAGCGGAGUGAAAUAGUACCUGAAACCGUGUGCCUACAAGCCGUGGGAGCGUCGCUGUAUGUGCUUGCACAUGCAGUCGUGACUGCGUGCCUUUUGAAGAAUGAGCCUGCGAGUUAGCGGUGUGUAGCGAGGUUAACCCGUGUGGGGAAGCCGUAGCGAAAGCGAGUCCGAAUAGGGCGAUUGAGUUGCACGCUCUAGACCCGAAGCGGAGUGAUCUAGCCAUGGGCAGGUUGAAGCGGAGGUAAGACUUCGUGGAGGACCGAACCCACCAGGGUUGAAAACCUGGGGGAUGACCUGUGGUUAGGGGUGAAAGGCCAAUCAAACUCCGUGAUAGCUGGUUCUCCCCGAAAUGCAUUUAGGUGCAGCGUCGUGUGUUUCUUGCCGGAGGUAGAGCACUGGAUAGGCGAUGGGCCCUACCGGGUUACUGACCUUAGCCAAACUCCGAAUGCCGGUAAGUGAGAGCGCGGCAGUGAGACUGUGGGGGAUAAGCUCCAUGGUCGAGAGGGAAACAGCCCAGAGCAUCGACUAAGGCCCCUAAGCGUACGCUAAGUGGGAAAGGAUGUGGAGUCGCAGAGACAACCAGGAGGUUGGCUUAGAAGCAGCCACCCUUGAAAGAGUGCGUAAUAGCUCACUGGUCAAGUGAUUCCGCGCCGACAAUGUAGCGGGGCUCAAGCGUACCGCCGAAGUCGUGUCAUUCCAGCAAUAGGGCCAACGCCUGCUGGGAUGGGUAGGGGAGCGUCGUGUGCCGGGUGAAGCAGCCGCGGAAGCGAGUUGUGGACGGUUCACGAGUGAGAAUGCAGGCAUGAGUAGCGAUACACACGUGAGAAACGUGUGCGCCGAUUGACUAAGGGUUCCUGGGUCAAGCUGAUCUGCCCAGGGUAAGUCGGGACCUAAGGCGAGGCCGACAGGCGUAGUCGAUGGACAACCGGUUGAUAUUCCGGUACCCGCUUUGAAACGCCCAGUAUCGAAUCCAUUGAUGCUAAGGCCGUGAAGCCGUCCUGGAGCCUUCGGGCAAAGGGAAGUGGUGGAGCCGCCGGUCCAAGGUGGUAGUAGGUAAGCGAUGGGGUGACGCAGGAAGGUAGUCCAGCCCGGGCGGUGGUAGUCCCGGGGUAAGGGUGUAGGCCGUGUGAUAGGCAAAUCCGUCACACAUUAAGGCUGAGACCUGAUGCCGAGCCGAUUGUGGUGAAGUGGAUGAUCCUAUGCUGUCGAGAAAAGCCUCUAGCGAGUUUCAUGGCGGCCCGUACCCUAAACCGACUCAGGUGGUCAGGUAGAGAAUACCGAGGCGUUCGGGUGAACUAUGGUUAAGGAACUCGGCAAAAUGCCCCCGUAACUUCGGGAGAAGGGGGGCCAUCACUGGUGAUCCGUUUUACACGGUGAGCUGGGGGUGGCCGCAGAGACCAGCGAGAAGCGACUGUUUACUAAAAACACAGGUCCGUGCGAAGCCGUAAGGCGAUGUAUACGGACUGACGCCUGCCCGGUGCUGGAACGUUAAGGGGACCGGUUAGUGCGCUUUCGGGCGUGCGAAGCUGAGAACUUAAGCGCCAGUAAACGGCGGUGGUAACUAUAACCAUCCUAAGGUAGCGAAAUUCCUUGUCGGGUAAGUUCCGACCUGCACGAAUGGCGUAACGACUUCUCGACUGUCUCAACCAUAGGCCCGGUGAAAUUGCACUACGAGUAAAGAUGCUCGUUUCGCGCAGAAGGACGGAAAGACCCCGGGACCUUUACUACAGUUUGAUAUUGGUGUUCGGUUCGGCUUGUGUAGGAUAGGUGGGAGACUGUGAAGCAUGCACGCCAGUGUGUGUGGAGUCAAUCUUGAAAUACCACUCUGGUCGUGCUGGAUGUCUAACCUCGGUCCGUGAUCCGGAUCAGGGACAGUGUCUGAUGGGUAGUUUAACUGGGGCGGUUGCCUCCUAAAGAGUAACGGAGGCGCCCAAAGGUUCCCUCAGCCUGGUUGGCAAUCAGGUGUUGAGUGUAAGUGCACAAGGGAGCUUGACUGUGAGACCGACGGGUCGAGCAGGGACGAAAGUCGGGACUAGUGAUCCGGCAGUGGCUUGUGGAAGCGCUGUCGCUCAACGGAUAAAAGGUACCCCGGGGAUAACAGGCUGAUCUUCCCCAAGAGUCCAUAUCGACGGGAUGGUUUGGCACCUCGAUGUCGGCUCGUCGCAUCCUGGGGCUGGAGUCGGUCCCAAGGGUUGGGCUGUUCGCCCAUUAAAGCGGUACGCGAGCUGGGUUUAGAACGUCGUGAGACAGUUCGGUCCCUAUCCUCUGCGCGCGUAGGAAUAUUGAGAAGGGCUGUCCCUAGUACGAGAGGACCGGGACGGACGAACCUCUGGUGUGCCAGUUGUCCUGCCAAGGGCAUGGCUGGUUGGCUACGUUCGGAAAGGAUAACCGCUGAAAGCAUCUAAGCGGGAAGCCUGCUUCGAGAUGAGUGUUCCCACCCCCUUUGAGGGGUUAAGGCUCCCAGUAGACGACUGGGUUGAUAGGCCAGAUGUGGAAGCCCGGUAACGGGUGGAGCUGACUGGUACUAAUAGGCCGAGGGCUUGUCCUC
rnacentral:rRNA from 1 species